AGAACAGACCCUCCAUUCACCUUUGUUGGACUAGAUGUGUUUGGUGCGUCACCACAAGAAGGACGCAUGGAGGCCUGGCAAACAGUAAGCACUGGGCAGUCAUUUUUACGUGUAUGAGCACGCGCGCCAUACACAUUGAAGUUGUUGAAUCGAUGGAGUCAUCCAGUUUCAUUAACGCUCUUAGAUGCUUCUUUGCAAUUCGGGGACUUGUUAAACAGUUGAGGUCCGACUGCGGAACUAACUUUGUGGGAGCCUGGAAAGAGCUUCAGAUUGACUCCAGAGGUUGCAACAACAAGCAGGUGGCCAACUAUCUCUCAGAUCAGGGCACACUUCACAUAUGGGAGGCAGCUCGGAGAGGAUGAUCCGCAUCACACAUAGGAUCCUUGAUGCAAUGUUCCUCAAGCUCGGGCUUACAAAGCUCACACAUGAGGUCCUGACAACCUAUAUGGCUGAGGUCACUGCUAUUGUCAACUCCAGACCACUUACUUCUGUGCCUACAGAUCCAGAUGAGCCACUUAUCCUUACCCCUGCUAUGCUCUUAACGCAGAAAGUCAGCACACCCCUAGUUCCCCCUGGCAACUUUGAUGAUAGUGACAAGUUCAAGAUUUAGCCAACACAUUCUGGGACAGGUGGAAGAGAGAGUACCUCAGCAGUCUCCAGGGUCGUCAGAAAUGGAGGACAGAAAGGCCAAACCUGAUGGACAGAGAUGUUGUCUUACUUAAAGACAACUUAGUCAAGAGACAUAACUGGCCCAAAGGACUGAUCACAAGAGCUUUUCCUAGUGACAAUGGAAAGGUUAGAAAGGUUGAGGUGAAAAUUGUCAAAGAUGGUGUACCAAAAUUGUUCCUAAGGCCCGUCUCUGAAGUCAUUCUUCUGGUACAAAAGGACUUGGUCAGUGACUUGAUAGCGUAGUUUUGAGUGUGGCAUCUUAAAGGUGCCAAACUCCAGUAUGUUUUUCAUUGCUUUGUGACCCCUAGUGGUUGUAUGGUGAACUGCCUCUUUAACUGUGGAAACAGGAAGUGCUUCACUUCCUCUCCGGAUCUUGCCUGACACAGCCACAUGUUACUGCUGGUUACAAUCUAAUGCCAUCCUCACCAUCAUCUGUAUGGCUAUUUGGGUGCAAGUCUUCCAUGAAGGCCACUGCUGACCAGGCAUCUGGACAGUGGAUGAGUGGACCAGGGUCCUACUUUUUUCUGCGAUCUGAGCUGAUGGCACUGCUGGAUGUCUUCUGAUUGCAAAGGGGAAAAUCAAAUCCUGGUUCUCCUGCAACUUCUUCAAACCUAACAGUGACGAAACCGAGGUCCUGCUCAUAGGCACCAAAUCCCCUUUAAAUAAAUCUGACAGUUUUUCCCUUACCACUGACAACUCCCCAGUUUUCCCCAUCCCUCCGGUCAAGAGUGUGGGUGUGAUCCUCAACAGCACACUUUGAUUUCAAGCUCACAUUAAUAAUGUCACUCGGUUUGCAUACUUCCUUUUACGUAACAUUAAUCGCCUCCGACCGUCUCUCUCACCCACUAGUACAGCCAUUCUCGUUCACACACUGGUUACAUCCCGCAUUGAUUUUUGUUAUUCUCUUUGGUCUUCCUCUCAAGUUCAUAUGUAAACCUCAACUGGUUCAGAACUCAGAAACCGCUGUACCUCACUGACCUCCUUCAUAUCAACACCCUCCCGUACUCUUAGGUCUUCUUCUUCUAUUUACAUCAUCUUCCACCAGACAUCUGCAACAUUGACUUGCUUUCCAUUGUUAAAUUCCGCCUGAAAACACAUCUUUUUGAACUAGCAUAUCCCAAGUGAUCACUAUUUAACAAGUUACAGCAAUCCUUUGUUUCCAAUUGUUUAUGUACCCUGAUUUUAUGCACUGCCGUUAUAGUUGUUGUUAAUUCUAUUGAUUUAUUGUUAUAUUGUUGUUUUAUUAUGUUUUGUGAGGUGACCUUGA